GUAGGUGGCAAGCGUUGUCCGGAAUUAUUGGGCGUAAAGCGCGCGCAGGCGGUCCUUUAAGUCUGAUGUGAAAGCCCACGGGCUCAACCGUGGAGGGUCAUUGGAAACUGGGGGACUUGAGUACAGAAGAGGAAAGCGGAAUUCCAAGUGUAGCGGUGAAAUGCGUAGAGAUUUGGAGGAACACCAGUGGCGAAGGCGGCUUUCUGGUCUGUGACUGACGCUGAGGCGCGAAAGCGUGGGGAGCAAACAGGAUUAGAUACCCUGGUAGUCCACGCCGUAAACGAUGAGUGCUAAGUGUUAGGGGGUUUCCGCCCCUUAGUGCUGCAGCUAACGCAUUAAGCACUCCGCCUGGGGAGUACGGCCGCAAAGGCUG
rnacentral:rRNA from 1 species